GCAUUUAGAGNGGCCCGCGGCCUAUCANCUNGAUGGNGAGGUAANGGCUCACCANGGCAGUGACGGGUAGCCGGUCNGAGAGGACGAACGGCCACAGNGGGACUNAAAUAUGGUCCACANCCCUACGGGGUUUAGCANGGAGGAAUCUUGCGCAACGACNGGAAAGUCGGCGCAGCAACGCCGCGUGGGGGACGAAGGCCUUUGGGUCGUAAACCCCUGUUGCUCGGGAAGAAGUACCCCUGGGGAGAUCCCAGGGGGAAGACGGUACCGGGCGAGGAAGCACCGGCUAACUACGUGCCAGCAGCCGCGGUAAUACGUAGGGUGCAAGCGUUAUCCGGAUUUAUUGGGCGUAAAGGGCGCGCAGGCUGCCACCAGCAGUGGCCCGUGGAAUCUCUCCGCUUAACGGAGAGGGGCCGGGCCAAACGGGGUGGCUUGGGGCAGGCAGAGGCAUGCAGAACGGGCGGAGUAGGGGUGAAAUCCGUAGAGACCGUCCGGAAUACCAGUGGCGAAGGCGGCAUGCUGGGCCUGAAGCCGUAAGGCUGAACCCGACGCUCGGGCGCGAAAGCGUGGGGAGCGAACGGAAUUAGAUACUCCGGUAGUCCACGCCCUAAACGAUGGCAACUCGGUGUCGGGGGUAUCGACCCCCCCGGCGCCCCAGCUAACGCGGUAAGUUGCCCGCCUGGGGACUACGGCCGCAAGGCUAAAACUCAAAGGAAUUGACGGGGGCCCGCACAAGCAGCGGAGCGUGUGGUUUAAUUCGAUGCAACGCGAAGAACCUUA
rnacentral:rRNA from 1 species